AAGAAAAAGAAAAAAAAAAAGCUGGUCCCCACGUGCCCAGUUGUCAGUGAUGUACCCCAUCGUGGAGGAAGGACAAGGAUGAAGAUGAAGGAACCGCCCCGCCCCCUGCAUUCCCCCCGGUCCUCACAGCAGAACCGGGAAAGGAAGCCCGCCCGCGCCGAGUAGUUCUGGGUCUCACAGGAAAGGAGCAGCCCUGCCUUUUGAGUCUGAGGAGGGAGGUAGAGCGUCAGGUCGCCUGAAUCCCUCUGCGGGACACUCCAAGCCCUCUACUCACUGGGGACUCAUUACCUUCCCAGGAUGCUCUACCCUCUGGACAAUUCUCCUGAAAAAUUCUUCCUUGAGCUAAAAAUCUGCUUAGGAAAGAGACCAACCACUUCCAGUGAGCAAAGAAGAAAUAGGAGAGGUUAUUACCAAGGUGAGGUGCCCUUCUCAUCACACCCUUUCAGGAGGGAUAUUAUGUAUCAUGAGGGAGAGAGGGAGCUGCCAAAAACUGUCUUCUGUUUGGACUCACUCUUCCAGAGGAAAAAAGCGUAGAGACUCUAGGGCCAGAUGGAGGACGUGGCUUGCAUUCCUUGGCAGCAGCAGGAUAAGCAGCAGCAAGAACAAAGGACACUAAGAACAAUGGUUCCACAUUUACCCAGGAGAGAAGUAACCCAGCGGGUAAAAGCAUCAAUAAAGGAAACUUUGAUUAAUGACUGUUUUCACAUGGGAAAGUAAAUCCAUUAUGUUGGAUUCAG